GACGAACCGUGCGAACGUUGUUCGGAUUCACUGGGCUUAAAGGGCGCGUAGGCGGCUCGCAAAAGUCAGGGGGUGAAAUCUUUCGGCUCAACCGGAAAAGCGCCUCUGAUACUGGCGGGCUGGAGGGAGGUAGGGGGCGACUGGAACUUCCGGUGGAGCGGUGAAAUGCGUAGAUAUCGGAAGGAACGCCGGUGGCGAAAGCGAGUCGCUGGACCUCUUCUGACGCUGAGGGCGCGAAAAGCCCAGGGGGGAGCAAAACGGG
rnacentral:rRNA from 1 species